AAAAAUCAGACAUUUGAGUCUGUGAACAUGCAACUGUCUCCUUUUCUUUUGCUUCCAGUAGAGCACACCCCCUAUCACCUAAAAAGGCAAGAGUGCAACUGCUAAACGCUACACUGUCUAAGAAUAAACCAGGCUUGCAGUGUCUAAGGUUACCUUGAAGCACCCCAGCAUUUCUCCCGUCUCACGCUCAUGUGAGGCACCAAUAACAUGGGCUAAAUUACCAGCACUUAUUUGCUGCAUCCCCUGCAAGAGCCUGAACUCCCCUGUUUACGGCCAUGCCCUAACAUCCCAUUCUCCCCCAGCCAUGAUCUCAAAUCCGGCACUUUGAAAACCCUCAUCCUGCUUUUCUCACAAGAUUGUGAGGAUUCACCUGUGGAUUAAAUGGGGACAACAAAAAAGAACAUCUUUUCCUGAGUGGGAUUUAACAUCAACUGGGUGAAACGGUCCAAAUAAGAUUGGGAUACACAAGCGAAAUCAAAGGACACUCGGCUGAAGUACCACCAUGGCUCAGGCAACUAAAGGUCCCGUGGUGAAGUCCAUCCCUCCCACUGGUGUAGCUGCCCCGGCUAGAACAGCACACACAGACUCACUUACUGCCGGGAGCCAUGGAAUUUUACGAAUCAUGAAUCGCCCGGCACAGUGGGUGGUCAUCAUCACACUUCUGAUUUCUUGGUCAAUAGCAGGUGUUGUCAUGUUUGAUUUUGUCAGUGACGAUCAGAUUGCAAGCAUCCAGGAUUUUGGCUCUGAUCCAGUGCUAGCAGUGAGCAAGGCCAUCGAAGGCAUUGAAAACUGGAUAAACCAUAUGAACGAUAUGCUUUAUGAUGCUCACGAGUACAUCACUGAAAUAAUAUUUAAUCCGAGGGAAGCUAUUAGUUUAGCAGCUGACUCAUCUGUGUCUUAUCUGUCAGGAAUAUUUAGUGCUGAUGGAGAUUCAGGAGUCACUGAAACAGUGAAAUAUGGUGGCACUGUAUUGGAUGAGGCUACAGAAUGGAUCAGAACCCCAGUGAGCUACUUAUUCCACUUGUUUGAAGACAUAUUGGAUAUAGUGAUUACUCCAGUGGAUAUGGUCACUGAAGUUGCUGUGCAAAUUUUAAGUGGGAUCAAGACCAUUAUACAAUAUAUUUCAACCAUGUUUGGGGGCAUUGAAGGGGAUACAGGCAUCACUGAAACAGUGAAACUUGGUGGUACUUUAUUGGAUGAGGUUACUGAAUGGAUCAGAUUCCCAGUGGGCUACUUAUUCCACUUAUUUGAAGGCAUCUUGGAUGUAGCAAUCAUUUAUCCAGGGGACAUUGCCACUGAAGCAGUUCUGCAAAUUUUAAGUGGGAUCAAGACCAUUUCUUCAACCAUAUUUGGAUACCUUGAAGUUUGGUUUCCCAAAAUGAGCACUGGUCCCGCAGAACUGGCUGAAAUUGUUGUAGAGAAGGCCACAGACAUAAAGACCACUGUCUCUAAUUACCUAACCAGUCUGUUUGCAGUGGAUGAAGGUGGUAUUCCUGACAUUAGCUUUGAUCCCAUGAAAGUUGUCACAGACACUGUUGAGGAGUUUGCUGACAGGAGGGAUAUGUUCUUGGCCUAUCUCUCCAACAUGGAAGACAAAGAUGACACACCGCAAGUGAUAAGACGGAAAGGAGAAUUUCUGCCCCCUAUGGAAAAAGUUCUUGAACAAGUGAAAGAAGCCAAAGAGAAAAAAGCUAGAGAGGAGAUAUACAAAAUCAUUCAAGAUAUGAGGGAAAAGAAGGCUGAAAGUAAAGAGGAAGAGAUAACACUGCAACGAAUAAACAUAACAGUAGAAAAAGUCAAGAAGAAAAAGGAGAUAGAAAAGGCUAAAAGAAAAGAAAAAUCCAAAGAGGACAAGACUCGAGAACCAACAGAAAAGGACACCAAGAAAAAAACUGAGAAAAAGGUCAAGGUGACUAAAGUGGGCGAGGAACCCCCUCUAAAAAAGAAGAAAUCUGAAGCUAAAAUGGCCAAAAAAGAGACCAAACUAGCAACAUCUAAGAAAGAGCCUCGAGUUACAAAAGAAAAGGCUAAACCAGCUCGUUCAAAGAAAGAAGCUGAAGUUGCUGUUAAAAAACUAAAACACGCUCCUGCAAAGAAAGAGCCUGAGGUUUCCAAAGAGAAGGCCAAGCUGAAGCCCUCAAAGAAAGAAGCUAAAGCUCCCAAGGACAAAAUUAAACCGGCCCUUUUGAAGAAAGAGCCUGAUGUUUCUAAGGAGAAAGAAAAACCACCAACUGCAAAGAAAGAAGAAAAGCCAACAACCGCUAAAAAAGAGCCUGCAGUUGCAGAAGAGAAAGUCAAACCAGUGCCCUCAAAGAAAGAUACUAAAGCUAUUAAGGAGAAAGUGAAACCAGCCCCAGUUAAGAAAGAGCCUGAGGUUUCCAAAGAAAAAGCCAAGCCAAAACGUUUAAAGAAAGAGGCUAAAUCUGUUGAAGAGAAGGCAAAACCAGCACCAGCUAAAAAAGAGAAGGAGAAACCUCCAAAGAAAGCUGUAAAAGAAAAGCCCAAACCUGCUUCUGUAAAGAAAGAACCUAAAUUUCCAAGAGAGAAAGCAAAACCUAAACCUUCCAAAAAAGAGGCAGAAGUUGCCAAAGACAAGCAUAAACCUGUCACUGUGAAGAAAGAACCUGCUGUUGCAGUUGAAAAGGCAAAACCGAAACCUGCACCAAAGAAAGUUACCAAAGAGAAAGCUAAACCAGAACCUGCAAAGAAAGAACCUGAGAUAACCAAAGAAAAACCGAGAGCACCAAAGAGAAAGGCUCAAGUUAUUAAGGAGGAAGCUAAACCAGCUCCUGCAAAAAAAGUCUUCAAAGAUGUUAAACCAGCCCUUAAGAGAAGAGAGGCUAAAGUAAUGAAGAAGAAAGUUAAACCGACUCCUGUAAAGAAAGAGCCUGAAGUUGCUAAAGAAAAGGCACCUGAAUCAGCACCAAGAAUAGUGGCUAAAGUCAUCAAGGAGAAACCUAAACCAGUUCCUGAGAAGAAAGAAGCUGUAAUCAUCAAAAAGAAAGUUAAACUGGCUCCAGUAAAGAAAGCACCUGAGAUAAUCAAAGAAAAGCCAAAGCCAGCACCAAAGAAAGAGGCUGAAGUCAUCAAAGAGAAAGCUAAACCAACUCCUGAAAAGAAAGUCAUCAAGGAGAAACCUAAACCAGUUCCUGAGAAGAAAGAAGCUGUAAUCAUCAAAAAGAAAGUUAAACUGGCUCCAGUAAAGAAAGCACCUGAGAUAGUCAAAGAAAAGCCAAAGCCAGCACCAAAGAAAGAGGCUGAAGUCAUCAAAGAGAAAGCUAAAGCAACUCCUGAAAAGAAAGAGACCGAAGUCAUCAAGGAGAAAGUUAAACCAGCCCCUGUAAAGAAAGAACCCAAAAUAACUAAGGAAAAGCCAAAGCCAGCACCAAAGAAAGAAGCUUUAGUCAUCAAAGAGAAAGCUAAACCAGCCCCUGUGAAGAAAGAGUCUGAAAUUAUCAAGGAAGAAAGAAAGAAAGCUAAACCAGCUCCUAAGAAGAAAGUGGCUGAAGUCACCAAGGAGAAAGCUAAGCAAGCUCCGAUGAAGAAAGAGCCUGAAGUCACUAAAGAAAAGUUAUUAGAACCAACUCCAAAAAAAGAGCUCCUGAACUCUAUCAGCCAAAAACUGUCUCUUCUGGAUUUACUGAGGAAGGACAUUGGUGAAAUGAAGAGUGAUCUGGAGUCCACUCAAAAUCAAAUUACGCUUUUACGAAUGGACAACAGAACAAUCAAAGAGCCAAAGACUGUUGGUGUAAAGGUAAAACCAGCAGUCUCCAAGGAAAAGGUCAAAACAGCAAAAAAAGACCAUGAUGCUCUGAUGAACGUUACAGCACAUAUUAAAGCAGAAGCUGAAAUCAUCAAAAAGAUAAAAGAUAAAGUUAAACUGGCUCCUUUAAAGAAAGAACGUGAUGCACUGAAAAACAUCACUAAACCAGCACCUGCAAAGAAAGAUAAAGAGGCUCCAAAAGCUAAGAUCAGACCACAGCCCAAAAAGAAAGAAAUCACCCAUGAGAAGGUCAAACAAGUAAAGGAACCUUUACAGAAAGAACCUAAGCAGGUCAAAGAAAAAGUCGAGCCAACUAAGAAGGAGGCUGUUGUGGGCAAGGAAGUAAAAGGAGAAGAACCUGAUGUCUCCAAAGAUAUUCCAGAGAUGGAGGAUGAGGAUGUUCCCUACUUCCAGUGUUUCUUUGUGGAUGAGGAUGAUACUCAGUAUCCAUUCUUCCCCUUUUCACCACCGCUGUGGUGAAACUAGCCAAACCUCGUAUUCUGAUGUUAAACAACAUGGCAAAGCCAGUGAAGACGGACCUCUGAACGCUCUGAUGCAGUGGAGAGCUUCACAGUAGGUCCUACAGCAUUACACCAGCAAUGACCAAGAAAUGUGAAAGAGAUUUAAGUUACUUCCUGGAUCUUAAAACUCGAAAACUUCCUUCUCAGAUUCUUUGUCAUUUUGAAGAACAGAGUUUGCAAAUAUUGCGCUAUUUAUUAUAUCAUCUUAAGGCUAUCCAUCUUUUUAUUAAUACCAUGGAUUUGCCUUUUGUUUCUGAAUGAUUACUAUCUAUUUAUGAUUAAUAUAUAUGUCCAAGAAGGACAGGAAGAAAUGAAAGAACUAACUUCCUUUCUGAACAUGCAGUGGGGUUCAGGAUUGUAAGAUUAUAUAGUCUUUUAUAUAAACAUGAGGCGUGACCUCGUUUUGAUGGGGUGCUAAUUCUAAGCAUUCCACUGUGUUUUCUGUCAGAAUGGGGUUUGGAAGUUGUUCACGGUUCGUACAACUGGAAGGAAGGAUAUAAUAAAACAAGAAAUAUGUAAACUAUUUCAUAUAUCCUUUCUUAGUGAUACCGUUUACUAAACUGUUUACAGAAGUAACAGCUGCACUGAGAAAUACGGGCUUUGGACCGUAAGCUCAGUUCCUCAGAAUGUAUACAUCAUUUUAUUUAUAUAUUAUUUUUAUUUUGUUUUAUUCCUCUCUCUUUUUUAGCUUUCCAUACAUUUUACUUAAUAUAACUUGCCAAAUGUUUUAUAAAUCUAUACUUCAGAGGAAACAAAUAUGUUUUGUUCAGUGCUCUUUAUAAAUGAUUUUGCAUAACAAAAUUAAGAUAAGCUGUUGUGCUAAAUCCAAGAAAAAGCAUCAAACAUCAAGGCAACUACGUUGUUCUAGUAUAUCACAUUGCAAACACUACUGUUUUUACUUUUAUCUGCAUAACAUUAAUAGUUUAUUUAAGAUAAUGUCUGUAAAAAUGUGGGUGUGUUUUUGCAAUAUUACAUGGAUAGACCUACCUAAUAGAGAAGAGACAAUUAAAUAGCAUUCUGAAUUGUGUAACAAAAAUUGUCUGUUCCACAUUAUACUCAUACAGAAGAUUUUUUUUUAUUAUUAUGGGAUAAUGUGUCAAAUUAAAUUUAUUGCAUGCAACCACCGUGUGUUUCAACACUGCCCCUGGUGGCUCCCUGGCUCAUUACUCCAUUGCUUGAUUUAAUGAUAUUGAGUGUUUAAUGGUAUGUACUAGUGAGACACACCAUUAAACUAGUGUGCCGGUGGGCUGCCCUGGAGACAUUUCUUUUACUGCCACUGUCUUUUCUGUAUGAGUUCAGCAUGUGGCUCCAUUGAACAUAAACUCAUGUCUGUACAAAGAGCUUUUUUACCUCUGAUGUUAAGUAACUUAGGGUGAUCGUACGUUCUGUUUUUCCCAGACAUGUCCUGGCCAGGAUUUCUAAAUUGCCUAAAAUGUCAUUUUUUUGACUUUCUGAAGGUAAUGACUGUAAAGUAGUUUCACCAGCAUGCAGGCAUUGUGCUUAAUCGACCAGUUGUGGCCUGCGAGAAGGUGGGAUCUACAGAGAAGAGUCAAAGCAGUGCAAAUACAUGUACACAUAAUGUCUGAGGACUCUAGAGAGGAAACGCCAAAACCUGGACAUUUUAGGCAAUGUAGAAAUCCCGAUCAGGAUAUGUCUGGCAAUAAGAGGAUGUAUAGUCAACUGUACAAAUACAUAUUGUAGCAAUGCUCACUUGUAACAGAUAUACAGGUCUUUUUUGGACUUUUUUGGACUUUUCAAGUAAAUUAUGAGCUUGUUGGUGUGUUCUCAAGCAAACUGUGAAGCAAUGAAUAACAGCAUUUUUCAAUAGUUCAUAUAGUUCUUUAAGAUAUGUGUACUGUUAUUUUAAACCUAAUUUACAGUUCAUAUUUGAAAAAUGUUCCUCAAAGAUAAUAGUUUGCAUGAUGUUUGCAUGAAUUUUGUUUAAAAAUGUAUCUAAACCAGACCAUAUUUAAUUUGUGUGUGUUUUUAAUUGGAAUUACAUAAUUUCAUUGAAAAUGUAUAAUGUAAUAUUAUAUUCAUUUGGGUUUGUUUGUUUUUUUGCAUGGUUUUGAAGUUAGAUGUUGAAAACAUUCUCUGUACAAUGUAUAGCCAUAAACUGAAAUCAUAUUUAUAAAGCUCUAAACAGAAUCAACAAUAUGGUCUCCAGUCAAAAAAAAAAAGGCCUGUAUGCAACUGUAAAUGCUAUUGUAACUGUAAUACAGACUUGAUACAGUCUGAUUUAAGUUUUAGAAUAAAUAAAUGUUUGCAAUAAUCACAAUUGUUUGAGGGCUCUUGCAUUACUUGUUGGGGGUUUUUCAGUAAUUUAUUUAUUUUUUUUCUUUGGUCAGGUCUUUUUGAAGAAAUAUUUCAUUAU
ensembl:lncRNA